CUUCAGUGAUGACAAGAUGACGAGUCAGAAAGGGCACUACCUGCUCUGUACCCCCUGGCUUUGGCACGUUCUGUGCCACUGUGUGUGGGGGUCUUUGCAGAGGUGUCUGGACAUUGGUUGAUCUAGAGGCAUUUGUCUGAGAAGG
ensembl:snoRNA SNORD15 Small nucleolar RNA SNORD15